CGUGUAGGCGGGAAUGCAAGUCAGAUGUGAAAUACCGAGGCUUAACUUCGGAGCUGCAUCUGAAACUGCGUUUCUUGAGUGUCGGAGAGGAAAGUGGAAUUCCCAGUGUAGCGGUGAAAUGCGUAGAUAUUGGGAGGAACACCAGUGGCGAAGGCGACUUUCUGGACGAUAACUGACGCUGAGGCGCGAAAGCGUGGGGAGCAAACAGGAUUAGAUACCCUGGUAGUCCACGCCGUAAACGAUGGAUACUAGGUGUAGGAGGUAUCGACCCCUUCUGUGCCGGAGUUAACACAAUAAGUAUCCCACCUGGGGAGUACGGCCGCAAGGUUGAA
rnacentral:rRNA from 1 species